rnacentral:rRNA from 1 species
UACAGAGGGUGCAAGCGUUGUUCGGAAUUAUUGGGCGUAAAGCGCGUGUAGGCGGCUUUGCAAGUCGGGUGUGAAAGCCCUCAGCUCAACUGAGGAAGUGCGCCCGAAACUGCAUGGCUUGAGUACCGGAGAGGAUGGUGGAAUUCCCCAAGUAGAGGUGAAAUUCGUAGAUAUGGGGAGGAACACCGGUGGCGAAGGCGACCAUCUGGACGGAUACUGACGCUGAGACGCGAAAGCGUGGGGAGCGAACAGG